UACGUAGGGGGCAAGCGUUGUCCGGAAUCAUUGGGCGUAAAGAGCGUGUAGGCGGCCCGAUAAGUCCGCUGUGAAAGUCCAGGGCUCAACCCUGGGAUGCCGGUGGAUACUGUCGGGCUCGAGUCCGGAAGAGGAGUGUGGAAAUUCCUGGUGUAGCGGUGAAAUGCGCAGAUAUCAGGAGGAACACCAAUGGCGAAGGCAGCACUCUGGGACGUGACUGACGCUGAGACGCGAAAGCGUGGGGAGCAAACAGG
rnacentral:rRNA from 1 species